UACGUAGGGGGGCUAGCGUUGUCCGGAAUCAUUGGGCGUAAAGCGCGUAUAGGCGGUCCGGUAAGUCCGCUGUGAAAGUCGGGGGCUCAACCCUCGGAUGCCGGUGGAUACUGUCGGGCUUGAGUACGGAAGAGGCGAGUGGAAUUCCUGGUGUAGCGGUGAAAUGCGCAGAUAUCAGGAAGAACACCCGUGGCGAAGGCGGCUCUCUGGAACGCAACUGACGCUGAGACGCGAAAGCGUGGGGAGCAAACAGG
rnacentral:rRNA from 1 species